GACGAACGCUGGCGGCGUGCUUAACACAUGCAAGUCGAACGGUGAAGCGCCUUCCUUUUUGGUGGGUGUGGAUGAGUGGCGAACGGGUGAGUAACACGUGAGUAACCUGCCCCCUUCUUCUGGAUAACCGCAUGAAAGUGUGGCUAAUACGGGAUAUUCUGGGUCUGUCGCAUGAUGGGUCUGGGAAAGAUAUUGUUUCGGUGGGGGAUGGGCUCGCGGCCUAUCAGCUUGUUGGUGGGGUGAUGGCCUACCAAGGCGGUGACGGGUAGCCGGCCUGAGAGGGUGGACGGUCACACUGGGACUGAGCCCCGGCCCAGCCUCCUACGGGAGGCAGCAGUGGGGAAUAUUGCACAAUGGGCGCAAGCCUGAUGCAGCGACGCCGCGUGAGGGAUGGAGGCCUUCGGGUUGUGAACCUCUUUCGCCAGUGAAGCAGGCCUGCCUCGUUUGUGGGUGGGUUGACGGUAGCUGGAUAAGAAGCGCCGGCUAACUACGUG
rnacentral:rRNA from 1 species